UGAAUACGAGACGCUAAGGCGUCGAAGUAGUGUAUGUCAUACUUCCAAGAAAAGCUUGCACUGUCAUAAGUAAAAAAUGCCUGUACCAUAACCGACACAGGUGGGUAGGUAGAGUAUACUAAGGGGCGCGAGAUAACUCUCUCUAAGGAACUCGGCAAAAUAACUCCGUAACUUCGGGAGAAGGAGUACCUUAUUCUAUAAGGUUGCAAUAACAAGAUCCAAGCAACUGUUUAUCAAAAACACAGGUCUCCGCUAAGUCGUAAGACGAUGUAUGGGGGCUGACGCCUGCCCAGUGCCAGAAGGUUAAAGAAGUCGGUUAGCAUUAGCGAAGCUGGUAACUGAAGCCCUGGUGAACGGCGGCCGUAACGAUAACGGUCCUAAGGUAGCGAAAUUCCUUGUCGGGUAAGUUCCGACCCGCACGAAAGGCGUAAUGAUUUGGAUACUGUCUCGGAGAGGGGCUCGGUGAAAUAGACUUGUCUGUGAAGAUGCGGACUACCUGCACCAGGACAGAAAGACCCUAUGAAGCUUUACUGUAACUUGAAAUUGAAAUUGGACUUUAUUCGCGCAGUAUAGGUGGGAGGUGUUGAUUAUAAUCUUGCGGGAUUAUUGGAGCCAUCAGUGAGAUACCACUCUUGUAAUGUUAGAUUUCUAACUUUGAAUCAUUAUCUGGUCAAAGGACAGUUUCAGGCGGGCAGUUUGACUGGGGCGGUCGCCUCCCAAACGGUAACGGAGGCGUACAAAGGUUUCCUCUGAACGGGUAGAAAUCGUAUCUAGAGUGUAAAGGCAUAAGGAAGCUUGACUGUGAGACCUACAAGUCGAACAGGGACGAAAGUCGGUCUUAGUGAUCUGACGGUACUGAGUGGAAAGGCCGUCACUCAACGGAUAAAAGUUACUCUAGGAUAACAGGCUGAUCUCCCCCAAGAGUUCACAUCGACGGGGAGGUUUGGCACCUCGAUGUCGGCUCGUCGCAUCCUGGGGCGGUAGUACGUCCCAAGGGUUGGGCUGUUCGCCCAUGAAAGCGGUACGCGAGCUGGGUUCAGAACGUCGUGAGACAGUUCGGUCCAUAUCCGGUGUAGGCGUUAGAAUAUUGAGAGGAGCCUUCUUUAGUACGAGAGGACCGAGAAGGACAUACCUCUGGUGUACCAGUUAUCGUGCCAACGGUAAACGCUGGGUAGCUAUGUAUGGAGUGGAUAACCGCUGAAAGCAUCUAAGUGGGAAGCCCACCUCAAGAUAAGUA
rnacentral:rRNA from 1 species